UACGUCCCUGCCCUUUGUACACACCGCCCGUCGCUACUACCGAUUGAAUGGCUCAGUGAGGCCUCCGGACUGGCUCGAAGAGGUUGGCAACGACCACUUCGAGCCGGAAAGUUCGUCAAACUCGGUCAUUUAGAGGAAGUAAAAGUCGUAACAAGGUUUCCGUAGGUGAACCUGCGGAAGGAUCAUUACCUAGAGUUGUAGGCUUUGCCUACCAUCUCUUACCCAUGUCUUUUGAGUACCUUCGUUUCCUCGGCGGGUCCGCCCGCCGAUUGGACAAACUUAAACCCUUUGUAAUUGAAAUCAGCGUCUGAAAAAACAUAAUAGUUACAACUUUCAACAACGGAUCUCUUGGUUCUGGCAUCGAUGAAGAACGCAGCGAAAUGCGAUAAGUAGUGUGAAUUGCAGAAUUUAGUGAAUCAUCGAAUCUUUGAACGCACAUUGCGCCCCUUGGUAUUCCAUGGGGCAUGCCUGUUCGAGCGUCAUUUGUACCUUCAAGCUCUGCUUGGUGUUGGGUGUUUGUUUCGCCUUUGCGUGUAGACUCGCCUUAAAACAAUUGGCAGCCGGCGUAUUGAUUUCGGAGCGCAGUACAUCUCGCGCUUUGCACUCAUAACGACGACGUCCAAAAAGUACUUUUUACACUCUUGACCUCGGAUCAGGUAGGGAUACCCGCUGAACUUAAGCAUAUCAAUAAGCGGAGGAAAAGAAACCAACAGGGAUUGCCCUAGUAACGGCGAGUGAAGCGGCAACAGCUCAAAUUUGAAAUCUGGCGUCUUUGGCGUCCGAGUUGUAAUUUGCAGAGGGCGCUUUGGCAUUGGCAGCGGUCCAAGUUCCUUGGAACAGGACGUCA
rnacentral:rRNA from 1 species